GAUGUAACGCAUCUAAUACUAAGUUUCAACAACGGAUCUCUUGGCUCUCGCAUCGAUGAAGAACGCAGCGAAAUGCGAUAAGUAAUGUGAAUUGCAGAAUUCAGUGAAUCAUCGAAUCUUUGAACGCACCUUGCGCUCCUUGGUAUUCCUUGGAGCAUGCCUGUUUGAGUAUCAUGAAAUCUUCAAAG
rnacentral:rRNA from 1 species